GAUGAACGCUGGCGGCGUGCCUAAUACAUGCAAGUCGAGCGAACAGACGAGGAGCUUGCUCCUCUGACGUUAGCGGCGGACGGGUGAGUAACACGUGGAUAACCUACCUAUAAGACUGGGAUAACUUCGGGAAACCGGAGCUAAUACCGGAUAAUAUAUUGAACCGCAUGGUUCAAUAGUGAAAGACGGUUUUGCUGUCACUUAUAGAUGGAUCCGCGCCGCAUUAGCUAGUUGGUAAGGUAACGGCUUACCAAGGCAACGAUGCGUAGCCGACGUGAGAGGGUGAUCGGCCACACUGGAACUGAGACACGGUCCCGACUCCUACGGGAGGCAGCAGUAGGGAAUCUUCCGCAAUGGGCGAAAGCCUGACGGAGCAACGCCGCGUGAGUGAUGAAGGUCUUCGGAUCGUAAAACUCUGUUAUUAGGGAAGAACAAAUGUGUAAGUAACUAUGCACGUCUUGACGGUACCUAAUCAGAAAGCCACGGCUAACUACGUG
rnacentral:rRNA from 1 species